CAUGGAGCAAUAGCACAGCGUAUAUAAAAAUGCCGCAUCAAGUGAAUGUCACUUCAGCCAUGGCGAUCAUCGUUCAAAUAUCAAUGCUUUGUUUGCUGCUGCUGUCGGUGUCUUGCAGCCCGGGAAGCGAUACGGCUGAGCGAUCUGCGUCGGGCUCUUUUACUCCAGUAAGCCAUGGACUUGGUAAAGUGACAUUGCGACCGGUAACAAAGGAAAAACCAGGCCUGGUCCUGCGCUUUGGAGGUUAAGAAGACUAGACUUCACGAAAACGAACAGCCCAGGGGCAGCAGCACCAUGUGAAAUGCAAUACUUGGAAUAUAUUGUGCCGCAGUUUGCCACGAACGUGCAACAAUAAAGGUGUCGCUGAAUUUACUGCA